UGUAAAGUAACCAAUAAUUCCACGGCCAUUAUUGCCAUCAGAGCACAUAAUGACUAUCCAAUGAUUCCAUUACAGGAGGAGGAGCCUUUAAAAGCCCGGUAUGCCUGCUGCUGAGUCUCACCUGGGUCGCCGUAGGCAGGAGAAAACAAAAAUGCUCCCGUGAGAAAGCAACCCUGUCAGCAUUGUUUGCUUCUGUUGGGAAAAAAGAGGACAUUUUAACCACGCAGACAGACAGCUGCAGAGAGGCAGACAACAGAUCAUUUGCCGGAGAAAGAGGCCAUGUUAGACAGAGCUUCUUAUGUAUGCGGAUACGUCAAGGAAUCUGAUGCAGGAAUCGCUCCAAUGACCAGGCUGGCUGGGGAAUUCUGGGAGUUGAAGUCCAUGCAUCUUGAAGUUGCUGAGGUGGAGAAAUGUUGAUCUAGAGGAACCAAUAUGUGACAACCACCAAACUACAGUCCAUUGCAGGAAAGGCAGCACCUGUGUAUAGAGUCUGUGAAUAAUAUUAAUAUUAUUAUUAUUAUUAUUAUUAUUAUUAUUAUUAUUAUUAAUAAGAAUAAGAAUAAUUUCAGUGGAGCGAGUAAGGUUAAAAAGCUGCAAGGAGCUCAAUAUUUUUUUUACCUUAAAAACGUUCCAAUGAUGUCUCACUUUUAGGCAAGUUGAGGGCUUUAUUUCAUUUUCAUGGUUGUCGUUUUUUAAAGUUUAUGUUUUAAUGUUUAGUGUGUAGGCAUCCUGGAUUGGGGCUGCAAAAAACAAACCGCCACUAGAUGGGAGUAGAGGGGUAGAGCUUUCUUUCUUUUUUCUUGAUUAAUUAAAAAAAAACAGAGUAACUGUAAAAAGAAGAAAAGGAAAAAAAUAAUGGAUAAAAGAAUAAAAUAUACGUAAAAAGGGAGUUUAAAUUUAGUAUUUAAUUGGUAGAUGUACUCAGUUCCAUACAUUAUAUCAUUUUUAAAAAACUAGAAAUCUCUAUAAAAGACUCAACAAGAUGUUAAUAUCACAACUAUUAUCAUUGUUCCAAGGAUAAAUGCACAUAAUCAUAGAAAGAAUGAGAAAAAGAAAAAACAGUAAAAACAGUAUUAAGAAAUGAGAUCGUUCUAAAUUCCCUCCCAUUGUACCAGACUGGUAAUUGCAUUAAAAUAUUUCUAAACAUUGAAAUUGCUUCUAAUUACUGUCUUUAUGUCAAUUAUUUCCUCCUUAAAAAUCAUACUCUAAAUGUCUGAAUUAGCCAUGUUGGGGGACAUAUGAUAUAUAGGUGAAUAAUUCUUGAUUAAAUUUAGUCAAACUGCUGGGUGUACACUCUUAAUUUUGCCAUUGCUGCAUAUUCCCCCAGUCUGAUUUCCCAGUUCUAAUACUGUCAGAAAGUGUCUCUUUUCCAAUGUUGAGCCAGAUUUGUCCCUGAGGCCAUCAGCGUAUAUCUUCACAGAUUGUGAUAUCUUAUAUUCAUAUGUUCUGGAACAAUUCCUAAUUUUAAAAAACUUGAGAUUUGUAUUCAAGCGUUGCUUUUAAGAUUUUUUGAAAUGUGCUGUUUAUUUCCUUCCAGUACUUUUGAGGUUUUUUUACAUGA